ACGCUCGACACCUACGUGAGGCAGCAGUGGGGAAUAUUGCACAAUGGGGGAAACCCUGAUGCAGCGACGCCGCGUGAGCGAAGAAGUAUUUCGGUAUGUAAAGCUCUAUCAGCAGGGAAGAUCAUGACGGUACCUGACUAAGAAGCUCCGGCUAAAUACGUGCUAGCAGCCGCGGUAAUCUGAGCGGGCUGGCAAGGC
rnacentral:rRNA from 1 species